rnacentral:lncRNA from 1 species
AUCAUAUCAAAUUCUAUCAAUCAUAUCAUGUCAAUCAAUCAUGUUGUAAAUUAAAUAGAGGAAAAUCAAACAAAUCAUAUCAUGCUUUUGUCUUAUUUUACUUUAUAUUUUCGGGCAGAGUCGUUCCGACUUCUAUCUACUGAGCACAAUACGGAUUCUCGUGUGACAUCCUAAAUGUAAAUUAAGACAUAAGGGUGCUAGAUACAGAAAAAGAUUACGAGUGCAUAAUAGAUAAAUGUAUUGUGCAGAACAAAUAUUUACAAAUCCCUU